rnacentral:SRP_RNA from 1 species
GCCGGGUGUGGUGGCUCACGCCUGUAAUCCCAGCAAUUUUGGGAGGCCGAGGCGGGCGGAUCACCUGAGGUCAGGAGUUCAAGACCAGCCUGACCAACAUGGUGAAACCCCAUCUCUA